rnacentral:rRNA from 1 species
GCGCAGCAGUCGCGAAUUUUUCUCAAUGGGGGAAACCCUGAAGGAGCGACGCCGCGUGGAGGAUGAAGGCUUUCGGGUUGUAAACUCCUGUCAUUUGAGGACAAGUGGCCGAACGUAACUGCUUCGGCCUUGAUAGUAUCAGAAGAGGAAGGGACGGCUAACUCUGUGCCAGCAGCCGCGGUAAUACAGAGGUCUCAAGCGUUGUUCGGAUUCAUUGGGCGUAAAGGGUGCGUAGGUGGCGCCGUAAGUCGGGUGUGAAAUUUCGGAGCUUAACUCCGAAACUGCAUUCGAUACUGCGGUGCUUGAGGACUGGAGAGGAGACUGGAAUUUACGGUGUAGCAGUGAAAUGCGUAGAGAUCGUAAGGAAGACCAGUGGCGAAGGCGGGUCUCUGGACAGUUCCUGACACUGAGGCACGAAGGCCAGGGGAGCAAACGGGAUUAGAUACCCCUGUAGU